GGCUUUUUGCGCAGCUGAGGGGGCGGCCGGUUGUCCGGAGCCGAGCUGAGCACGGAUGGACGAGAAGAGCACCGCUGCAGCAAGAGUUAAAGCCCCGAUGGAGCCAUUUAAAUGCUGUUAGUGCUCUUCUUGCAGCAAAAAAAGGAAAAAAGAAAAGAAAAAGGCUGAGGUUUCACUAACCCCAGCCAGCAAGGGCAGCAGAGGGGCACAGAACAACCUGCAGGGCCCCACAGCUACCCCUGUGCAAACGGCAGCGGCUCCACCUGAACGCUCCUGCCAGGGCACAGGGCCGCAAGUUGUGUAUGGGAUAAUCUGCAAGUGCUACCAGAAAAAUAGCACUGAAUAGGAAUAGAUCACACCAAACCUGCGCUGUGAUAGGAAAGCUCUUGGUGCUCCGGCCAAGAGUUGCAAUUGGAAGGUGCUUAAAGAGAAGAAUUGCCAUAGUCAGAGUUUUGAUGGAGAAAAUGCAAGCAAGGCAGUUCAUACUUAGGUAUGACUGCUCAUGGUUUGUACCAAUUGGCCAUUGCUCCCACGGGGAAAUACAAAUAAAACCCAGAACAGUCAAGACCCCAGAAAUGAGGUGUGUAUUCUAAAGCACUGUGACUUAAAUAUCAAGACAGCGCUUGCAGCAAGAGGUCAAACUGGCAAGACGAUGCAUUUGGAUAUUGCAGAGGCUGCUCUGCCCCCACGGAGGGUUUUCCAUCCUUCAAACCAGCCACCCUUACGUAAACGUGCCAAUAUGAUGAUGUGCAGAGAAGAGGAAUUCCAAGAGAAAUCCAUCAUGGCUCACUACAACGAAUGGCGCUCCAGUUCCUGCCCUGUGCUAUGAGACCAUCCCCUCACCACACAACCAAGCAGUCACGUUCAUCCCAUUGACUGCAUGCUGUAAGGCCACCAGCUCAGCAGCAGCUAAGACAUUUUGUUUCUUUAAAGGUAAAGCCUCAGUCUAAACCCCCUUGGUGUCUCAGCCUAACAUAUGCUGGAUGGCAGAUCGUGUCAGAAGAAGCCUGUAGCCCAUCUGUUGCCAGAGAGCUGAGUCCUUACAUUCUGCCAACGCAGCUUCAGCUGACAGCAUGCUACAUCAUCUAUUUUUCUUUGUACCAAGAGUGGAAGGGCUGCCCAGCUCAGCACGACUCUCUCCCUGACUUAUCGCAUGGAGAACCACCCCACGAGCGUGGAUCUGCAAGGAGAGGUUAAGAUCACUCCAGGCUCACUCAUCUUGACAGAGGAAGAGCAGAAUUCGCCCCAUAGUCCACUCUAACACAUUCACAUGGGGAAGAGCGCUCCGCCUUUAGAAGCAUAAAGGGACCUCUGACCACAGCGAGGAGGGGGCUGCGGUGUUACCAUCCUGACUCAUCUAAACGAUUCCAAAGAAAACAGACAUUGUUGAGAGAAGAAAUGCCGUGUCCAGGUAAGCUUCAUUUAUUGCAGGGCGACAGUGUCAGCUCAGAGAAAUUCAUCAGCUGAAUCAGUCAUGACGAAACUGGGAAAAUUCCAAGGCAAGAGAAGGCAUUGAUUGCAUCUUCCUCUGAGCAAAACUCCUCCGAAGCAGCUGUGACUAAGGCACUGAUUCAGUAAAGCCAACAGGCCAUAUUAAGCUCAGCUAGAUGAUUUUGCUUGGGUAGAUGACUAACUGGUUUGAACUGGCACGUCAGUGGUUGAGGAACUGGUGAUAUGGGAGCACUCCAUCUGCAGCAGAGACGAGAAAUUGGAAGCGAUCCGUGUCACCACGGAUGUUCCACUGGCACUUAAUCCAGAAGCACGGCAAAUAAAACACCCUCUCAAUGCCUUUCAUAUUACAGAAUUGGAUUUAAAUUGCCCAAUGUGAAGCUAUGCACCAGUCCUAUUUGCUGUUAAGCAGCCGCUCUGCUGCUUGCCAGAGGUGACUGCCUUUCACAAGCUGCCAGAGCUUCUCACUUGCUCUGAAAUGCCACAUGCCAUUAUUUCAAGAGAAACUCACAAGAUCCAACUUCAGCACCUCCAUUUUUACCACCUAUCUCCCUCCUACUCUCCGACCUGCUUCUCGAGCUCAAAAAACACAUUGAUUUUGAUUUUAUUAGUAAGCAACAAAACUGGAACAAAUGGCUCCUGGCAGAACAUGUUUUCUGUUACAGCUGAAAAACUAUCAGACUGAUGCCCUUGAAACGCAUGGUGUGACUAAUGCCCAGCUUGCAAGGACCCAGGGGGACACGUAUUUAUUGCACUUUUCAGAAUGGAGCUGAGCAGCCAGAAAUGAAAAGAUAAGGUGAUAGGUAAAGAUGAAUGCGGUAGCCUGCUUGCUGCUCAAAGGAGGACGGUGCAUAUCGCACAUAGAGAGGGAUGUGAGACACGUUGAAUGAAGUAACCAGCAAAUCUGUGUCUGACUGUUACAUCUCAGGCUCAUAACUGAUUUUGAAUGCACUCAGCGUGCCCUGUAUCUAGAUAGUAAUUCUGGACCCUUAUUCCAAAGGGGAGCUGAGGGGAAAGAGGGUUCAGGCUUCAAAUAGUCUGGAAGUGGGUUGAGAAAAUGGUUGGGUCUUUAUUUAAAGAGAAUAGAACUGGCCUUGGCUUGAUUUUUGUCUCACUCCUUCAAUUAAUGUAUGCACAUUAGCUUACUUCCCAAAUAUGAUUGCUUUUAAAGAGAAGUCAAACGCAGAACCCAGCUGCAUCUCAUCUAUGGAGCAUUUGCUUUAUCACAGCUGCCCUGAAACCGGUGCUGAAAGGAGACCAAUUGCCAUAGAGACUAUGCUGUAAAGUAAUUAAGCUCAUGAUAGAGUUGCAUGCACAGCCAAGCAAAAUAUUACAUGCAGACAACAACAGAGCAGUUUCUUAGAAUCUGUAUUUCAGCUCCACUGCAGGUCCCUCCACUCCCACCUACAUCUUUCCUAGCCUUGCUAUCCCUAAACAUACAGAGUUGCAAUAUUCUCAACAUAAAGAGGCAUUAAAUUAAAGCAUUUUUAAAUUUGGUGGCUGAUAAUUUUGUCCUUUUUAAUGCUUUGGAACCUGGGUGUAUAUAUUAGAGGAGAAAGAAUUAGGGGACUGGUUUUGCCUGCACUUGAAUGUUUCUAGAAGUGCUUUGAUCAUGUGUGAGAAUUGAUUUAGGCGAUGCAAAUGAAGGCCCUGGCAAUCUGAAGCAGCAAAUCUUCUCCCCUGACAUUUCUGAACAUUCAGAGAAUUCUCAACGAGCCACUGAAGUAUGGGUUUAUCAGAGAGACAAAAAGAAAAUGGAAUAAGCGAAGAAGCACAUAGAAACGGCCGCUUCCUCAACAAAAGCACCAGCAUUAGCAAUCCUUCCAUCUUGUUCGUUACUUCUUUCCUGUUUAGAAUUACCUUCUCUUGCAAAAUAUGCAUCCAGAAGCAUGAAAGCAAUGAAGGAAAGCUGCAAGCCUUUCUGCACUAAGAGAUGGGCUGCAUAUUCUGCAACACGAUUAUAAUAUCUUACAACUCAUUAGCACCUACCAUCCUAGGACCUCCAAGCAUUUUACAAGCGUUAGUUAAUGCAC
ensembl:lncRNA